GUAAGGUUUGAAAUCAAAUGUUCAAUCACACUACAACGUUGCAUAUAUAGGUUAGUAAGUUGAGCGCAAAUGAUGUCAGUAUUAAUUAUGACACCCACAAGCGGAACACUAUUCAGAUUACGGAAACCUUCAUAUUUCGGGGGUGGUGUAGGCAUACAGUGACUUAGAUCAGAUGAGUCAAUUCUGAACAUGAAAACAAAUAAGAUGGUAUUUUGUAGGCACUGGUUGUACGAUUGUGAAGUUUCACUUCCCUAACUCCACAGUUUGAUAUGUUUUUAAUCCAAAUAUCUAUAUCUGAAUAGAGAUGAAGAGGCAGAUCAUUAGGAUUGCAAAGAAUAAACUUCAAUAUGAGACCUCCACGAGAUAAAAGAAUACUGCUGCCGGUUAUUGAAAAUUCAUAAAGUAAGUUUAGUUUCUCUAAUUCUGAAAGGAAACCUCUGAGAAAGCCGGUUGAAGAAAAGGUCAUCAAAAACUAGGUGUGAGUGCAUUUCCCAUUUACCCCUCUAUUUUUUUGAGAGAAUGCUCAUUCUUGCUACACAGUCAACCGGCAAUCACUUUUGAAUUAGGUAUAGUAAGUCACUGGGCAUGUCACUUUUGAAUUAGACCUUAUUCUAAAGCGAUUGCCGGUUGACUGUAUUGCAAGAAUGUGCAUUCUCUCAAAAACAUGGAGAGGUAAAUGAGAAAUGCACCCACACCUAGUUUUUGAUGACCUUUUCUUCAACCGGCUUUCUGAGAGGUUUCCUUCGAGAAGUAUAGAAACUAAACUAUAUGAAUUUUCAAGAACCGUCAGCAGUAAUCUUUUAUCUCAUAGUGGUCUCAUAUUGAAGUUUGUUCUUUGCAUUACUCAUGAUUUGUUUCUUCAUCUCUAUUUAGAUAUAGAUAUUUGGAUUAAAAACAUAUCAAACAAUGGAGUUAGGGAAGUGCAACUUCAUAAUCGUACAUUGAGUGCCUACAAAAUACCAUCUUAUUUGUUUUCCGGUUCAGAGUUGACUCAUUUUCCAUAAUUUAAUUAGUGUUUCACUUGUGGGUGUCAUAAUUACUACUGCCAUAUCAUUUGGGGCAAAACUUAUGGACCUACAUUUACAACGUUCAUCAUUUGCGUACUAAUGUCUUCUGUUAACCUUGUAUGUAGGAACCUGAUGUGAAGUGGUAGUAUGUUAUGCACAAGGUGGAAACCUGGGAACGUAUGGUGUCAUCGGUUACACAAUAUUUGCAAUCACUACACUUGAUUGGCAUGGCUUUUGACCAACUCGAAACUGUGGAAUUAUAUGGAGUGAAUCUUUCGUUUGAACUUCAGUCCAUAAAGCUUUUGCUUGCAUCUUCUCCUUCGCUUAAAUUGAUGAGAAUUUAUUACAUGAUUCAUGACCAUGAAGAAGCGUUCAGGGUUUCGCAAGAGUUAAUGAGGUUCGCUCGAGCAUCCCAACUGCAGAGAUUAUAUGGAAGUAACUAGACGUAUUGGUAGGUUUGAUUUGGAAGUUAACGUUGAACCAUAUGAACUCCUUGGGAUUGUUUAUUUUGUGGUUGCGGAAUCAGACCCCUCUUCGUGGCUCUAGAACUUGAGAUCUUUUUUCUGGAUUUAUUAUGUUUAAUUUCAAUGACAGCAAAGUUUUUAGUAUACUUAUAUAUUCUGGGUUUAUUUAAGUUUUUGGUUUAAUGGCGUUCAUGUUUAGAGUUCCGUAAACUGGAGGCCACACAUGUAGUCAUGGUUGCUCCUCUAUUUGGCAAUCAUAUUUUAGGUGCUCUCUUGAGUGUAAUUGUUUAUUUGUUUGUCAUAUUUUGAUGGUUUAACUCUGACUGUCCUUCCUCGAAACUAAAAUGCCUUGAACUAGCAGUCACUCUUGUUUUCGGAAGUCGGAGUGUUGCUCUGUUUGACCCACCCUGUUCUGUACUUUUUCCGAUCUUGGGUGUUGCUUUGUUUGCGCCCCAUUGUUACAAGCAUCAGGUCCUUACGGAAGAGGAAGUGCUUAUCUAAAAGCUGAACAUUUGUCUUCACUGAUGGAAGUUUCUCUCUUUGUAUGCUGUUUAUUCUGGAACAGCUAUAUAGAAUAGCACAUUUACUGACAUUACUUUGAAAUUCUCUUAUCCUUUUCUUGGUAUGUUUAAACCCCUAUGGAAGUCUUUAUUAUUUUCACGAAAUGGUUGAUUGCAGAAAUUUUAAUGCACGUCUCUCCCUGGGAUUUGAACAUGCAACCCUCACAGUUUUACACAAAAAAUAUUCACUACGCCACUAAGAAGUCUCCUUUGGUACUAUUUAUUUGGAAUAUCAGUUUUGUCAUUUCAGUUUCUCGAAAGAAAAAACAUAUCUACUUGCCAUGUUUCUUAUAUGUAAAUCUUGCCUGCUAUUUGCUCAUGUGUUGGUAGUUGUGGACCAAUUUGACGGGUCUUGAGUUUAACUGUCACAAUUUUCAAAAAAAAAGUUCUCAGAUAUUAUUGCGGGAGAAGAUGAUCAUCACCUACCACCUUACAAUCCAAAACAUUAGAUUGCGCAUCGUUUAUCCUCUUUUUCUUCUUAACCAUCUAUUGUUUUAAGACCUAAACGCUAUUUCAUGUAGAUUUUUUCAGGUGGAUGCAUUCACAGAAUCAGCGUUCAAGGGAAACCCAGCUGCAGUUUGUUUGUUAGAAGAGGAAAAAGAUGAGAAAUGGCUACAAUUGGUGGCCACUGAGUUCAAUCUCUCCGAGACAUGUUUCUUGACUAGGAUUGACUUGGAUUCGCCUAAUCCCAGGUUUCACCUCACAUGGUUCACUCCUGUUGCUGAGGUUCACUUGCUCUUGAUUCUUGUCUGUUUUUUGGGGUUUUAUGAUUCCCCGGGUGUCGAAUUCUGGUCUUGGGUAUUGGGUUUGUGUAAAAAUUUGAUCUUUUUGGUGGUAGCGGUCUUGAAUUGAAUUUGUGUAUUGGGGUUGCUUAAAGAUUUGAUCUCUUUGGUGUUAGCAGUCUUGAAUUUAACAUGGGGCAAUAUAAAGUUGAUUUAGACAUUCAAGCGGACGUAAUAACAAAUAAGUAUGAUAUGCAUAUUAAAUCCCUUUGUUACUGAGGUUCAGUUACUAUUGAGUCUUGUCCAUCUUUUUUGGUUUUUGUGAUUCCCCGGAUGUCUAAUUUUGAUCUCGUUAGUAGCUCAUUUAUUUGUGUAUUGGGUUUACGUAAAGAUUUGAUCUUUUUGGUGUUACUGGUCUUGAAUUUGAAUUUGGACAAAAUAAAGUGAUUUAAAAAAGUUAGUUUGGAGUUUGGACACUCAAGCUGAAUAUUCCCGCAAAGAUGGCUUUUCGAGUAAAUUAAGUAUGAUAUACAUAUUAAACCGCUUUAGUAAUAAUUUAAAAUUCUAGUGGAGUUGGUAACUUGAUAGAUAUUAUGAACGUUCAAUAUGUUAUUGCUUUGCUCAUGUAAUAGGUAAAGCAUGAACAACCAUGUCUUUUUUUAAUCAUGCCAUAUCACUGCUACUUUGUCAGUUGUCAUUUUAAUUGAAUGUUGAAUAAAACAUGCAUUAUUAGACUAUGUUUUAUUGGAUAGCCACAGGUGGUGGUUGCUUUAUCUUCCCAUCUGAAACGGGUCUAAGCAAUCAUAUGUGUGAUAUCUAAAACUGAUGAAGAUAGUGGCUUUCUUUAUAUCAAAUUUACCAAUUGCUGGAUAAGUCAUUCGUAGCCGGCUUUUUAUAGUUUACGAAGACUUGCUAGUUUUCAUCUCUAUGCAUAAUGUCUGCUUACAGGUUAAACUUUGUGGCCAUGCAACUUUGGCGGCAUCCCACUUCAUCUUCUCAUCUGGUUUGGUGAAAGUGAAUGUGAUCGAGUUCAUGACACUGUCUGGAGUUUUGACUGCUAGGAGUGUUUCAAUGCCUGAAGUUUCUGUAUUAUCACAGUUGAAAAGUGAUGGUUUCUGUACAGAGUUGGAUUUUCCUGUCGUGCCACUGGUUGAAUAUACUUCUGCUGAGGUGUCUAACAUUUCACAAAGUUUAAAUGGCGCCUCUAUUGUUGACAUCAAGAAAAGGUCUACAGAAAAGGACUACAGAAGAUGACCUCCUUGUAUGUGUUUGGCUUUGCUCUAACAUUUUGUUAAUAUCAUUACCAUGUGGAUACAUUCUUUUUGGAAAUUGUUUAUGAUGGGGCUAACAUAUCUUAACAGUGAAAUGUUAUAUACUACUGCCAUUGUUUCUUGCUUUGGAAAAGUUAAUAUUUUGUAUCUGAGGAAUGUAAAAGUCAUCUAAAAAUGCAGGUUGUGCUCUCAGCUGGAAAGACUGUUGCAGAAUUACAGCCGAUGUUUGAAAAGAUACAGAAACUUCCUUGCAGAGGAAUGACAGUAACAGCGCUUGCUCCCUCUGAAUCUGGGUUUGACAUAUACAGCCGCUUCUUUUAUCCUAAAUAUGGGAUUAAGGAGGUAAACAUUAAUCUAAAUAUCAGGAUUCAUUUAUAAUUUUCGAAACCUUUGGAGUUUUCUCAUAGUCUUGCUACACUUGGUAUGUGGUAGUGUCUUCAUAACCUGUCUACCUUCCGGAUACAUUCUUGUCUUUCUUUUCUUAUGUGUAGAAUUCGGAUAUUCCAUUUGUCCUCCACCCGCCUUUCAUUAUAGUUCAUUUGCUAGAUUAUUUGUAUAAUGUUGAAUACAAAACUAAAUUUAAAUUGUCUAUCCUUAGCCUCCUUGCUGCUUAUUGUCUGUGGAUAUACAGGCACGCGCUGUUUUAAGGGUGAAAUUUAGUUGAAUCCGGGUUUUCAAUAGGGGUGCUAGUUUUUAUGUCUUCCCCUAUAGACUAUAGUUACAGGCACCAGGUAAUUAACUAAAGAAAGAGCUUAUCUAAAAGUUGAACAUCUGUCCUGAGUGCUGGGACUUGAUACAAUCGGUAACCUCUUUAAUGCGUGCAAUUUUAUUUCAGGAUCCUGUCACAGGCAGUGCACAUUGUGCCUUGGCACCCUAUUGGUGCCAAAAGCUGGGAAAAAGUGAUCUUGUUGCAUAUCAGGUGAUUGUCCUUAGUGCUCACUGCUCACUCUCUCUGCCUAAUUCUAUCAAAUGUGUAUGCACACACUGAUUUGAUAUUUGAUCCAUUUGGAGCUUGUUCAUUAAACUCACUAUUCAACUUUGUGAUGUAGUAUUUCGUGAAUUCAGGCAUCAACUAGAGGUGGCUUCAUAAGAUUACAUCUAGAUGAGAGGAAUCAAAGGGUAAUGCUCCAAGGGAAAGCUGUUACUGUGAUGGAAGGUUCUCUCCUAGUUUAAAUAUGGAGGUAUUCCUAGAAUGCCUAAAAUGAACCGGGAGCUAUUCAUAAUUAAAACAUCAGAAUCUUAAGAUCAUUAUAUUGUGUCUGUAACAGUUUACUUAACAAGUUUUUAUAGCUAUUUCUUGAUGAACACUAUUUUCUUAAAUGUGUUGUUGAUAUGUGUUUCGUGCUAAUGAUUAUUGAUAAGUAGUACUUUUAUAGUUCUCUUAGAUAUAUUGCUUGCAAUUAUCUAGUUGAUUAAUUAUUGCAGUUGUGUUCACUCUUCAGAGUCACUGAAACCAAAUUGAGUUGGUAAUCUGUUUGUUGGCCUGACAAGUAACAUAAGUGAGUAUUUAUAAGUCAUUUUAUUCAACAAGUUCAAUAUAUCUAUUGCGAAGUAUUGUGCAAAGUAUGGAAAUUCGUAAAUAAUACUGGCAAAAUUGUGCCAAUAUUAUUUAGAUCACCUAACUUCACUUACGACCGAAAGAAAGCGUUGAUGAUUAUAUUCUUGCCAAGAUUCAUAUAUUUUUGCUGAUUGUAUACUAGCUUUUAGAAUAUGAAUUGAUAUUGAUUUUAAAUUAUAUUUAAUAAUUGGGAUUUCAUUUAAAAUGAUAGUAUAAAUUUGAUUGGGGUGACUGAAAAUUUUCGAUAUUUAUGACUAUUUAAAUUUGGAAGGUUAAUUUUGAAUAUUUAGAAAUUAUUUCAAGAAUUUACUCCGAUAGUCCUAUGUAAAAUGUGUCAGUUCCGUUUUGCAUAUAUUAAGACUUAUGUCAAAUGUAAUUAUAAAAGAGUUUUUGUAUUAUUAUAUUUUGGUAGUUAAUUUUUAUAGCUAACAAAUUUCAAAAAUAUAUAUUAUUUACACAUACAUCUUCAGAACAUAUUAAAAUAACUAGUAAGCUGCUCCAGAGCUCUUCAUCCCAAACAUGACGACGACUAGGAAAGAGGAAAAAAAAAUUCCAGUUCACAUUUCGAACCUGCUGGACAAGUAAGUUUUCUUUUAAUUUUCAAACAUGGAUUAACUUCUUAUUCAUUCAUUUACUUUUGUAAUGUAAUUGGAUCAAAUUUCUUGUAUAUAAUCCCAUGUGAAGCAAACACAUGAAUUUAGCUCUAUACAUUUCAGGCCUGGUUCUCAUUUCUAUGUAUACAACUUGGAUAGUUUUAUGAUUAAUAUGCUCGAUAUAAUACCAUGAUCUGAUAUUGCGUUUGUUGGAUGUUUAAUAAAUGUUAUCCAAACUAAUUGCCUCUAGUUGGUAAUGAUGUAAUUCGAUUUUCAUAGGUUGUUUUUGAUAUCAAUAAUCAAAUUUUUUAGAUAUGUGCAACAGAUCACUGUGAAUAUAUACGUAACAGGUCAGUGUGAAGUGUAAUAAGUAUGAGUGAAGUAUAUUUGAAUUUAUAACUCAAAUCCAAUGAUUUUAAUUGCUAAUUUGAGAAUGGAAUGGUACUGUUUAUGUCAAGUGUUCAUUUUCUUCUUAUUUGUGUACAACUUUAAUAACAUGUCAGAAUGCUAUUUAGUAUUAUUCCACCAGUCCAGGAGUAAUUCCUUUUCCUUAAAAUUUUCGAUAACUUCCCGGGGGCGUAGAAGGCUUAUUAAUAUAUAGAUUUUGUUAAGUAUCAACUCAAUAGAAGUAGUCCGGUGUUAAGUAAAUUCCUUGUCAUCAUGUACAUACGGGGUUGUUCCAAAUUGUGCAACAUAGGACUAAAAAGAACUUUUUCUUUGAGCUAAUUACCUUCACGCACAAGGUUCUCUUAUUUGCCAGAAGAAAAUAAUAAGAGUUCCUUGAUGAAAAAUUCCCAUGUCAUAAUCGAUUGCUCCGCUCGUAAGGUUUGAAACCAAAUGUUCAAUCACACUACAACGUUGCAUAUAUAGGUUAGUAAGUUGAGCCCAAAUAAUGUCGGUAUUAAUUAUGACACCCACAAGCGAAACACUAAUCAGGUUACGGAAACCUUCAUAUUUCGGGGGUGGUGUAGGCAUACAGUGACUUAGAUCAGAUGAGUCAAUUCUGAACAUGAAAACAAAUAAGAUGGUAUUUUGUAGGCACUGGAUGUACGAUUAUGAAGUUUCACUUCCUUAACUCCACUGUUUGAUAUGUUUUUAAUCCAAAUAUCUAUAUCUGAAUAGAGAUGAAGAGGCAGAUCAUUAGGAUUGCAAAGAAUAAACUUCAAUAUGAGACCUCCACGAGAUAAAAGAAUACUGCUUCCGGUUAUUGAAAAUUCAUAUAGUUUAGUUUCUCUACUUCUGAAAGGAAACCUUUGAGAAAGCCGGUUGAAGAAGAGGUCAUCAAAAACUAGGUGUGAGUGCAUUUCCCAUUUACCCCUCCAUGUUUUUAAGAGAAUGCUCAUUCUUGCUACACAGUCAACCGGCAAUCACUUUUGAAUUAGGUCUAGUGAGUCACUGGGAAUGUCACUUUUGAAUUAGACCUUCUUCUAAAGUGAUUGCCGGUUGACUGUGUAGACAUUCUCUCAAAAACAUGGAGGGGUAAAUGAGAAAUGCACCAACACCUAGUUUUUGAUGACCUUUUCUUCAACCGGCUUUCUCAGAGGUUUCCUUCCAGAAGUAGAGAAACUAAACUAUAUGAAUUCUCAAGAACCGUCAGCAGUAGUCUUUUAUUUCGUAGUGGUCUAAUAUUGAAGUUUGUUCUUUGCAUUCCUCAUGAUUUGUUUCUUCAUCUCUAUUUAGAUAUAGAUAUUUGGAUGAAAAACAUAACAAACAAUGGAGUUAGGGAAGUGCAACUUCAUAAUCGUACAUUGAGUGCAUACAAAAUACCAUCUUAUUUGUUUUCCUGUUCAGAGUUGACUCAUUUGAUUCUAAGUUGUUGUAUGUUCACACAACCCCGGAAAUUUGAAGACUUCCGUAAUCUGAUUACUGUUUUGCUUGUGGGUGUCAUAAUUACAACUGACAUAACAUUUGGGGCUCAACUUACUGACCUACAUUUGCAACGUUGCAUUGGGAUUGAACAUUUGGGAUGUCAAUAUAAAUAUUAUAUCAAUCUCACUUUUCUGAGUAUCACCCAUUGUGGGGAAAUUGAUGGGCAAUGGUUUGGAUGCACCCGAAAGGUGAUUGAUUCUGUUCUCAUGUUAUAUGGAGCGGCAAAGAGCAUUGUGGAUUUGGAAGAGCUAGUUGACAAUAUGCCUAGAAUCCGUACUCUUCAUCUUGAUGGCUCUUUUCUUAAGGUAAUUAAAGUGAACCUCGUAAUCUCUCGUAAUGAGACUGGUGAGAUCUAAUUCCCGAAAUUCUGUUUUUGUUAUAGUUUUUUCUACUGGGUAUGAAAGACUUGCGGUCCUCUCUGUAAGUGAUAAUCACAUUCCACCCACUCUGGCUUAGAUUCUGCCUUGUUUUUCUUUCACUUAUUCUCCAGCUAUAUUUGUUCCUACUUUCUCUUUAUUAAUCACGUCAUAACAAUGUCCUCAUAUUAUCUGUAAUAGCAUUGUAUUGUAUUGUAUUUGAGUCCUGAUCUCUUUUUGUCGCAAGAGUUAAUGAGGUUCCCCCGAGCAUCCACAACUGCAGAGAUUAUAUGGAAGUAACUAGCCGUAUUGGUAGGUUCGUUUUGGAAGUUAAUGUUGAACCAUAUGAACUCCUUGGGAUUGUUUAUUUUGUGGUUGCAGAAUCAGAGACCCUUUUUGUUGCUCUUGAACGCGAGAUCUUUUUCUGGGUUUAUUAACUUCAAUUUCAAUGACAGCAAAGUUUUUGGUUUAUUUAUUUAUUUAUUUGUUCUGGGUUUUUCUUAAGUUUUUGGUUUAGAUGGCUUUCAUGUUUAGAGUCCCGUAAACUGUAGGCCACAUGUAGUUCUCUAUUUGACAAUCAUAUUUUUGGCGUUACAAGCAUCAGGUCCUUAAGUAACAGGAAGUUCUUAUCUAAAAGCUGAACAUUUUAUAUAUAGACACAAAAUUACACAAAUAUACGGAGAAAACACUCAUUUGAUCUAAAAUAAAUACAAAUAUUAUAAGAUAAAAAAAAUACUAUAUAUACAAUUUGAUAAUAUAGGUGUAACAUAAAUUAUUAUAUACAAUCUCGAGGUUGCGAAGUAGUUAUAACUAAUAUCACUUCUACAUUUUUCCCGAGUCAAAGAAAUACCGUAAGGGAGGUAUCUACUUUCCGCCUGUAUUUUAAAAUAUUUAAUGUAUAUUUAUAAAUUUUAAUCUUCAACUUUUUUUAGAUAAUAUAUUAAUUUAAUAUUUCAAACAAAUAAUGAGAUUUUAACAUAUUUUGCCUACCGGAUCAAACAGUACUUCAAAUAUCUCUAAUUUAUUAGAAACCUUUUUGAUAAAUUUUUACAAAACAAUUUAAAAACUUAUGUUUUUAAAUAAUAAGAUAAGAUAUAAUCAUUAAAAAAAUAUUAUAUAUUCAUUAUUUAGCAGUAAGUAUCUGAAAAUAAAUUUAGCUAAAUCAUGAGUGACAUAUUUUUUUUCUUUUUUCAACGCAAACUCUAAUAAAAAUCGUUAAAACCCUAGCCCAAAAAAAAAAACAAUUAAAUACGAUUUAAUAAAAACUCCUUAAAACCUUAGCCCAACGCAUCUAUGCUAUACUAUUAAAGCCGAAACAUUAAAAGUUUGGUCAGUCGGUACGCGGGCUUUUAUACGGGCUUUUAUAAUUAGCAGGCUUCAAACAAAAUUAGUGGGCUUCAAACAAAAUAUAAACAAAUCAAAAUAUAAAACAAAUAUACGAUCAAAACAUAAAACAAAUAUAAAACCUAUUUGACUAUACCACAACUAAAAUCAAACCUUAAAAAAUAUUAUAUUAUUACAGCCGAAGCAUUAAAAACUGUGUUGAACCUCGGUUACAAAUGUGUUGAAUGCACGAUUUAUUUACACGUUAUUUUUAAAACUUUGAUGUUUUUUCAAUAAUUUUCAAUAUGGGCCUAUCUAUAUACCGAUUAUUCUUUUUAACUAAAAUAUGUUAUUUUUUUUAUAUUUUCUAAUUAAAAAAACUCUAUUAUUUAAAAUAACAUCGAAAAACAUAGUAAUUAUCUUUUUAACUAUAACACAUUAUCAUUUUUAUAUAUUCUGACUAAAAAACAGAUACAAUUAACACGGGCUACAUAUAUCAUAAUUUUAUUCUCACAAUAAUAAUAGUUUACUAUACUAUUAAAGCCGAAACAUUAAAAAUUUGAUCGGUCGGUAGUUGGGCCAAAUUAUGGGCUUACUUAUAUAAUCAAUUAUCUUUUUAACUAAAUCUAUUAUCUUUUUUUGUAUUUUCUAACUAACAAAACUCAAUUUCCAAAAAUAAUAUUGGACAACAUAGCAACUAGUCAACUACCCUUUUUAACUAAAAAAUGUUAAUUUUUCAGAAUCCUAACUUAAAAAUCGAUUUUCCAAAAAUAACACAUGAAACAUUCAUAUAAAAAAGAUAUUAUAUAUCUAGAGAAGUGUUCUGGUACAAACUUACAAAUGUUUUUUGUUCAACACAUACAUAUAACUCGAGUUCAACAUUUUUUAAGAUAUUUUGUUGAACAUUGAUUUAAAUUGUGUUGAAGUAGUACAUAAACUAAUUUCUCAAUGUAAGAACUAAGUUAAACGUAUUAUAUAACCAAUAUUUAUCUUUCUAGACUCUACCCAAACCCCAGAGAUAUAGUUUAACCAUCUUUAUAAAUAUAUUCAACACAAUGAUAAUUAAUGUUCUACACCCAAUGGUGAACCUCGGUUACAAAUGUGUUGAAUGCACGAUUUAUUUACACGUUAUUUUUAAAAACUGUGAUGUUUUUUCAAUAAUUUUCAAUAUGGAUACUUUCGAUAACUAAAUAUUAACACGUUUGGAGAAUAAAAACAUUCAAAAAAAAAAGUUUGUAACUUAAAAAAUAUUUUAUUUGAUCAUAUUCUAUAUAUCUAUAUUAUUAUACUAUUAAAUCCGAAACAUUGAAAGUUUGGUCGGUCAGUACUUGGUCAAAAUACGGGCCUAUCUAUAUACCAAUUAUUCUUUUUAAUUAAAACUAGCUUAUAGCCCGUGCAAGGCACGGGAGCUUUUUAAUUAUUUAUAAACCUUUUAAAUACAUUUUAAAUGGUGUGAAAAAAUUUAAUUUAUAAAUAAUAAAUUAAAAUUGUAUGUAUCAUGCCAAAGUAUUAAAUUAUUAUCAAUUUUUAAAUUAUUUUAAGUAAAAUAUGUGACGCCAACUCUUAUUAGAUUAUAUUUAUAAAUGUCUUUUUAUAUUAGAAUUAUUAUGUGAUUAAAAUAUUUUUUAAAAAAUUUUUAUGGUUCGAGAUUAAAAUUGAUAAACACAGUUUGUUUUGAAUUAAGACGAUGAAUCAUAAACAUGUAAUAAGAUUGUAGAAUUUGUUUUGGAUUAAGAAAAUUUUUUUGUAUUCGUUCCUCACAUAAAUCGGGCUUAUUAAUUUUAGAAUAUAUUAGAUAAAAAUAAUUUUGUGACGACGCGAUUUAUAUGAUUCUACAAAUAAAAUUGGUAGAAAAUAUUUAUUUUCGAUUAAAAAAAAUCAUAAACAGGUGAAAUAUAGAAUUUGUUUUGGAUUCAGAAAAGGAAUUAUAAACAUGGAAUUAUAAACAUGCAAGUAGAUAUCAAUUGUCUUAUGGAACGGAAGUUAAUUUUAUUCUAAUCUAACGGUGCUUAUUUGUUCAAUAUACGAUCCGAUGGAUAAAUCUAAUUUUGUGACGGUGCGAUUUAUACGAUUCUACAAUUAAAAUUUGUAGGAAAUAUUUUUUUUGUAUUAAAAAAAACCAAAAACACAUGAAAGACGGAAUUUGUUUUGGAUUCAGAAAAGGAAUUAUAAACAUGCAAGUAGAUGUCAGUUUCCUUAUAGAACAAAAUUUAAUUUUGUUCUAAUCUAACGAUGCUUAUUUGUUCAAUAUACGAUCCAACGGAUGAUAAGCUUUUGGACCAUAAGACCAUGCGACCAAAUUAUCUCCCUUACGCUUAUUAUAUAUAAGUAUAUAAUAUGUUAUCUUUUUUUAUAUUUUCUAACUAAAAAAACUCCAUCAUUUAAAAUUAUAUGGAGAAACAUAGUAAUUACCUUUUUAACUAAAACACAUUAUCUUUUUUAUAUUUUCUAACUAAAAAACAGAUUUUCUACAAUUAACAUGAGCUACAUAUAUAAAAAUAUAAUAUUAUUAUAUAUAAUUAUUAAUAACUAACCUGUGAUAUUUUUCAACCAAAAUACAUUAACAUUAUUUUUAAAUACACUAAUGGACUCAAUUUAAAAAUAAUAUUAUAAAUCUAUAAUAUACUAUUAUACUGUUAAAUUCGAAACAUGAAAAGUUCAGUUAGUCAGUAGGUCUGUCGAAUUUGGUGAGCCAUGUGGUAUACGACCCACAACGUCUUUAUUUAUAACAUGUUGUAAUAUAUUUUUUAUUAUCAAUUAAAUUACCAAAACAUUUAAGUUAGUAUGAUGGGUCGGUAUUUAGUUUUACGCGUCUUUUUUAACUUAAUAUGUUCCAUACUAUAUUAUAAAGGGGUUUUCUCAUAAAUACCUAAGUCCAAAAUUAUUUUUGCAAAAUUACUACAUUUUUUGGAAAAAUUAUCAAAUUUUUGAAAAUAUUUGCAAAAAUACUGUAUGCAACCUGUUGCCACCACAUGCAACGAUACUUGCAACCAGAUGCAACCAUAUUUGCAACUCCUGGAGGCCAAUUAACUAAAGUUGCACCUGUUUGCAUCUAGCUUCAGACCGUAUUUUUGCAAAUAUUUUCUAAAAAGUUAGUGUUUUUAUAAUUUUCUUAAAAUAUAGUAAAAUCGCAAAAAAAUUUAGAAAAUGUAAUAUUUUUAAUAAAUUCUCUAUUAUUAAUUAUCAAUAACGAAAUAUUAAAAGAUUGAUUGGUUUAUUUAUAUCUGAUUUUAUAGAUCUCUCUAAAUUAUAACAUGAAAAACAAAUGUAUUUUAACAUUCUCUGUAAAAUAUAUAUGUUCGACCUAAUUUUUUAUUAGCCAUUUGACGAAAUUAACUAUUAAGAAUUUAUCAUUUGUUAAAUAUAAAAUUUAUUUAAUCAUAUUAUUCUAUCAUAAUUUUACUCUCAAAAUAAUAUUAGUUUAAGUUAAAAUAUAUACGAUAAAAUUACAAAUAUUAUAACCGCCCGUGCAUUGCACGGGUUAUAAGCUAGUGUAAGUUGUGAAUUAAAUAAUUAAUGUCGUCUCUAAUAAAAUUACUUAAAACUCUAGCCCAAGCCCAUGUAAGCUAUGAAUUAAAUAAUUAAAAGUGCUCUAAUAAAACUCCUUAAAACUCUAACUCAAACUCAUAUAAGCUAUGAAUUAGACAAUUAAACGCGCAUGGCCCAAGCCCAUGUAAUCCGUUCUAAUAAAACUCUUUAAAAUCCUAACCCAAACCCAUAUAAGCUAUAAGCUAUAAAUUAAAUAAUUUAAAGCGCUCUAAUAAAACUCCUUAAAACCCUAGCCCAAGCCCACAUAAGCUUUGAAUUUAAAUAUUAAACGGGGCUACUACAUUUCAAUUCAAACUUGUGAUUUACGCCAUUUUCUCAAAUGCCUGCGGCGGCUACUAUUCUGUAUUUCUGUAUAGUAAACCCUUUUUCUUGAUUAAAAAUCAACCCAUGACGAAGAAGCCUGUGUGGUAAUCUCAUUCUGUUAGUUAUACAUGCAUCAUUUUGUUUUUUACACACACAUAGAGUGAUGAUUUGCUAAAAAGAUUGAAUUUUUCAGGUGGAUGCAUUCACAGAAUCAGCGUUCAAGGGAAACCCAACUGCAGUUCAAUUGGUGGCCACUGAGUUCAAUCUAUCUGAGAGACAUGUUUCUUCACUAGGAUUGACUUGGAUUCGUCUUCACCUCAGAUGGUUCACUCCUGUUGCCGAGGUUCACUUGCUUUUGAUUCUUGUCUUAUUUUUUAGGUUUUUAUGAUUCCCCCGGUGUUGAAUUUUGGACUUGUGUAUUGGGUUUGUGUAAAGAUUUGAUCUUUUUGGUGGUAGUGGUCUUGAAUUGAAUUUGUUUAUUGGUCUUGUGUAGUGGGUUUGUGUAAAGAUUUGAUCUUUUUGGUGUAGCAGUCUUGAAUUUGAUUGGGGCAAAACAAAGUUAAUUUGGACAUUCAAGGGGAAGUAAUAACGAAGAUGUAUGAUAUGCAUGUCAAACCCCUUUGUUGCCAAGGUUCAGUUACUAUUGAGUCUUGUUCAUCGUUUUAGUUUUUCUGAUGCACACACUGGUUUCAUAUUUGAUCCAUUUGGAGCUUGUUCAUUAAUCAUCGCUAUUCUACUUUGUGACGUAGUAUUUUGUGAAUUCAGGCAUCAACUAGAGGUGGCAUCAUAAAAUUACAUUUAGAUGAGAGGAAUCAAAGGGUAAUGCUCCAAAGGAAAGUUGUUAUUGUGAUGGAAGGUUCUCUCCUAGUUUAUAUAUGGAGGUAUUCCUAGAAUCUUGAGAUCAUUAUAUUGUAUCUGUAGCAGUUUACUUAACAAGUUUUUUUACCAUUUACUGCAUAUAUUUUUUGAUGAACAUUGAACACUACUUUCUUAAAUGUGUUGUUGAUAUGCGUUUCGUGCUAAUGAUUAUUGAUAAGUAGUACUUUUAUAGUUCUCUUCGAUAGAUUGCUUGCAAUUAUCUAGUUGAUUAAUUAAUGCAGCGUAUUCAUGUACAGAGUUUGUUAAGUAUCAACUCAGUGGAGGUAGUUAGGUGUUAAAGUAAAUUCCUUGUCAUCAUGUACAUACGUGGUUGUUCAAAUUGUGCAAGAUAGGACUUAAAAGAACUUUUUCUUUGAGCUAAUUACCUGCACCCACAAUGUUCCCUUAAUUGCCAGAAGAAAAACAUAAUAAGAGUUGCUCGAUGAAAAAUUCCCAUGUUAUAACCGAUUGCUUUGCUCGUAAGGUUUGAAACCAAAUGUUCUAUCCUAGUGCAAUGUUGCAUAUAUAGGUCAGUAAGUUGAGCCCCAAAUAAUAUAUGUCAGUAUUAAUUAUGACACCCACAAGCGAAACACUAAUCAGAUUACGGAAACCUUUAUAUUCCGGGGGUGGUGUGGGCAUACCGUGACUAGACUCUGAUGACUCAACUCUGAACAUGAAAACAAAUAAGAUGGUAUUUUGUAGGCACUGGAUGUACGAUUAUGAAGUUCCAGUUCCCUAACUCCAGUGUUUGAUAUGUUUUUAACCCAAAUAUCUAUAUCUGAAUAGAGAUGUAGAGGCAGAUCAUUAGGAAUGCAAAGAAUAAACUCUAAUAUGAGACCAUUACGAGAUAAAAUAAUACUGCUGACGGUUCUUGAAAAUUCAUAUAGUUUAGUUUCUCUACUUCUGAAAGAAAACCUCUGAGAAAGCCGGUUGAAGAAAAGGUCAUCAAAAACUAGGUGUGUGCGCAUUUCCCAUUUACCCCUCCAUCUUUUGAGAGUAUGCUCAUUCUUGUUACACAGUCAACUGGUAAUCGCUUUUGAAUAAGGUCUAGUAAGUCGCUAGGCAUGUCACUGAUAAUAUCAACCGCGUCUUAACAAUCAAGCCGUCUUGUGUUAGCAAUACUAGUCAUAUUUCUGAAUAUUAGAAGAAGUAAGAACCAAACUGAAAAGAUGUACAAACAAUAAUACUAUAAUAUAAAUAUAAUUAAGUAUAUUUGUAGUGGCCAACCGGGUAGUAGCAAUUAAUCAAAUUUAUCGUAGCACAGAAUUUAAAGAACAUUAUAUCCAUAAGAGCCAUAUAUGUAAAUAAUUCAACUAAACCAUUAUCACAUUUGGAAAAAAGUGGCAAAUCAUUUUCGUAUAUAUUAGCGAAAGUUUAACAGUUAAUUAAAACCCCUAAAUCAAAGAUAGAAAAAGAUUAUGUGAGAUCAACAUACAUAAAAACAUUGAUUUAUUCAAAAAGUUGAUUCACACACACACACACAAACAUAUAUUUAAACAUUUAUAUAUUUGAUUCAUGUAUUGGUGGGAGUGAGACAUUAUGAGUGCGGUGGAAUGAGGAAAGAAAUGUGAGGAUUAGUGAUACAACCCUAAUUCUUAAUUAUGUAAUCUAUAUAACGAUGUCGUGUAAUAAGUUGACUGCAAGAUAUUUGCAUAUGCUAAAAAACCGUAUCGUGUGGAACAGAACAUUCUAAAAUGGCUAAACACAACACCGUUUAAGGAUAAUAUUUACAAAUCAAUUCUUUUUUUUUAUUUAUUUCCAUUUUAGGGGCAGUAUGCUGAUACUUGUGUACAGGGAAACAACUAUCAACAUAUGUAGACAUUCCCCUGCCUAAAUAACAACCCUCCUCCAAAAUGGAAAUAAAUAUAAAAAGAAAUGAUUUGUAGAUAUUAUCCUUAAACGAUGUCGUGUUUAGCCAUUCUAGAAUGUUCUUUUUCAUAUGAUGCCGUUUUCUAGCAUAUGCAAAUAUUUUGCAGUCAAAUUAUUACACGACGUCGUUAUAGAGAUUACAUAAUUAAGAAUUAGGGUUGUAUCGCUAAUUCUCACAUUCUUUCUCACUCCGCCGCGCUCAUGUUGUCUCACUCCCAGCAAAGGUAUCAAAUGUUUAUAUAUAUUUAUGUGUGUGUGUGUGUAUUUGAAUCAUUGUUUUUUUUGAAUAUAUCAAUGUCUUUAUGUAUGUUGAUAUCUCACAUAAUAUUUUUUUCCAUUUUUGCUUUAAGGGUUUUAAUUAAUUGUUGAACUUUCGCUAAUAUAUAUGAAAAUGGUUUUGGCACUUUUUUCCAUAUGUGAUAAUGGUUUAGUUGAAUUGUUUACAUACUCGGCUGUGAUGCAUAAAUGUUCAUUAAAUUCAGUACUAUGAUAAGUUUGAUUAAUUGUUACUACCCAGUUGGUCUUUAUAUAUUGUAGCAUUACUGUUUGUAAAAUUCUUUUCAGUUUGGUUCCUACUUCUUUUAAGUAUUCAGAGAUAUGCCCAGUGAUGCUAACACAAGGCGGCUUGAUUGUGGAGACGCAGUUGAUAUUAUCAGUGACCUGCCCAGUGACUUAUUAGACCUUAUUCUAAACCGAUUGCCGGUUGACUGUGUAGCAAGAAUGUGCAUUCUCUAAAAAUCAUGGAGGGGUAAACGGGAAAUGCACCCACACUUAUUUUUUGAUGACCUUCUCUCCAACUGGCUUUCUCGGAGGUUUCCUUCCAGAAGUAGAGAAACUAAACUAUAUAAAUUUUCAAGAACUUUUAUCAGUAUUCUUUUAUCUUGUAGUGGUCUCAUAUUGAAGUUUGUUCUUUGCAUUCCUAAUGAUUUGUUUCUUCAUCUCUAUUCAAAUAUAGAUAUUUGAAUUAAAAACGUAAGAAACAAUGGAGUUAGGGAAGUGCAACUUCAUAAUCGUACAUUGAGUGCCUACAAAAUACCAUCUUAUUUGUUUUCCGGUUCAGAGUUGACUUGUUUAAUUCUAAGUUACUGUAUGCUCACACCACCCCCUAAAAUUGGAGGCUUCCAUAAUUUGAUUAUUGUUUCACUUGUGGGUGUCAUAAUUACUAUUGCCAUAUCAUUUGGGGCUCAACUUAUGGACCUACAUUUACAACGUUCUCAGAUAUUAUUGCGGGAGAAGAUGAUCAUCACCUACCACCUUACAAUCCAAAACAUUAGAUUGCGCAUCGUUUAUCCUCUUUUUCUUCUUAACCAUCUAGUGUUUUAAGACCUAAACGCUAUUUCCUGUAGAUUUUUUCAGGUGGAUGCAUUCACAGAAUCAGCGUUCAAGGGAAACCCAGCUGCAGUUUGUUUGUUAGAAGAGGAAAAAGGUGAGAAAUGGCUACAAUUGGUGGCCACUGAGUUCAAUCUCUCUGAGACAUGUUUCUUGACUAGGAUUGACUUGGAUUCGCCUAAUCCCAGGUUUCAGCUCAGAUGAUUCACUCCUGUUGCUGAGGUUCACUUGCUCUUGAUUCUUGUCUGUGUUUUUUGGGGUUUUAUGAUUCCCCGGGUGUCAAAUUCUGGUCUUGGGUAUUGGGUUUGUGUAAAGAUUUGAUUUUUUUGGUGGUAGCGGUCUUGAAUUGAAUUUGUGUAUUGGGGUUGCUUAAAGAUUUGAUCUCUUUGGUGUUAGCAGUCUUGAAUUUAACAUGGGGCAAAAUAAAGUUGAUUUAGACAUUCAAGCGGACGUAAUAACAAAUAAGUAUGAUAUGCAUAUUAAAUCCCUUUGUUACUGAGGUUCAGUUACUAUUGAGUCUUGUCCAUCUUUUUGGUUUUUGUGAUUCCCCGGAUGUCUAAUUUUGAUCUCGUUAGUAGCUCAUUUAUCUGUGUAUUGGGUUGACGUAAAGAUUUGAUCUUUUUGGUGUUACUGGUCUUGAAUAUGAAUUCGGGCAAAAUAAAGUGUUUUAAAAAAGUUAGUUUGGAGUUUGGACACUCAAGCUGAAUAUUCCCGCAAAGAUGGCUUUUCGAGUAAAUUAAGUAUGAUAUACAUAUUAAACCGCUUUAGUAAUAAUUUAAAAUUCUAGUGGAUUUGGUAACUUAAUAGAUAUUAUGUACUUUCAAUAUGUUAUUGCUUUGCUUAUGGAAUAGGUAAAGCAUGAAUAACCACGUCUUUUCUUAAUUAUGCCAUAUCACUGCUACUUUGUCAGUUGUCAUUUUACUUGAAUGUUGAAUAAAACAUGCAUAAUUAGACUAUGUUUUAUUGGAUAGCCACAGGUGGUGGUUGCUUUAUCUUCCCAUCUGAAACGGGUCUAAGCAAUCAUAUGUGUGAUAGCUAAAACUGAUGAAGAUAGUGGCUUUCUCUAUAUUAAAUUUACCAAUUGCUGGAAAAGUCAUUCGUAGCCGGCUUUUUAUAGUUUACGAAGACUUGCUAGUUUUCAUCUCUAUGCAUGAUGUCUGCUUACAGGUUAAACUUUGUGGCCAUGCAACUUUGGCGGCAUCCCACUUCAUCUUCUCAUCUGGUUUGGUGAAAGUUAAUGUGAUCGAGUUCAUGACACUGUCUGGAGUUUUGACUGCUAGGAGGGUUUCACUGCCUGAAGUUUCUGUAUUAUCACAGUUGAAAAGUGAUGGUUUCUGUAUAGAGUUGGAUUUUCCUGUCGUGCCACUGGUUGAAUAUACUUCUGUUGAGGUGUCAAACAUUUCACAAAGUUUAAAUGGCGCCUCUAUUGUUGACAUCAAGAAAAGGACUACAGAAGAUGACCUCCUUGUAUGUGUUUGGCUUUGCUCUAACAUUUUGUUAAUAUCAUUACCAUGUGGAUACAUUCUUUCUGGAAGUUGUUUAUGAUGGGGCUAACAUAUCUAAACAGUGAAAUGUUAUAUACUAGUGCCAUUGUUUCUUGCUUUGGAAAAGUUAAUAUUUUGUAUUUGAGGAAUGUAAAAGUCAUCUAAAAAUGCAGGUUAUGCUCUCAUCUGGAAAGACUGUUGCAGAAUUACAGCCGAUGUUUGAAAAGAUACAGAAACUUCCUUGCAGAGGAAUGACAGUAACAGCGCUUGCUCCCUCUGAAUCUGGGUUUGACAUAUACAGCCGCUUCUUUUGUCUUAAAUAUGGGAUUAAGGAGGUAAACAUUAAGCUAAAUAUCAGGAUUCAUUUAUAAUUUUCGAAACAUUUGGAGUUUUCUCAUAGUCUUGCUACACUUGGUAUGUGGUAGUCUCUUCAUAACCUGUCUACCUUCCGGAUACAUUCUUGUCUUUCUUUUCCUAUGUGUAGAAUUCGGAUAUUCCAUUUGGCCUCCACCCGCCUUUCAUUAUAGUUCAUUUGCUAGAUUAUUUGUAUAAUGUUGAAUCCAAAACUAAAUUUAAAUUGUCUAUCCUUAGCCUCCUUGCUUCUUAUUGUCUGUGGAUAUACAGGCACGUGCUGUUUUAAGGGUGAAAUUUAGUUGAAUCCGGGUUUUCGAUAGAGGUGCUAGUUUUUAUGUCCUGUCUUCCCCUAUAGACUAUAGUUACAUGCACCAGGUCAAUAACUAAAGAAAGAGCUUAUCUAAAAGUUGAACAUCUGUCCUGAGUGCUGGGACUUGAUACAAUCGGUAACCUCUUUAAUGCGUGCAAUUUUAUUUCAGGAUCCUGUCACAGGCAUUGCACGUUGUGCCUUGGCACCCUUUGGUGCCAAAAGCUGGGAAAAAGUGAUCUUGUUGCAUAUCAGGUUAUUGUUCUUAGUGCUCACUGCUCACUCUCUGCCUAACUCUAUCAAAUGUGUAUGCACACACUGAUUUCAUAUUUGAUCCAUUUGGAGCUUGUUCAUUAAACUCACUAUUCAACUUUGUGAUGUAGUAUUUCGUGAAUUCAGGCAUCAACAAGAGGUGGCUUCAUAAGAUUUCAUCUAGAUGAGAGGAAUCAAAGGGUAAUGCUCCAAGGGAAAGCUGUUACUGUGAUGGAAGGUUCUCUCCUAGUUUAAAUAUGGAGGUAUUCCUAGAAUGCCUAAAAUGAACUGGGAGCUAUUCAUAAUUAAAACAUCAGAAUCUUGAGAUCAUUAUAUUGUGUCUGUAACAGUUUACUUAACAAGUUUUUAUAGCUAUUUCUUGAUGAACACUAUCUUCUUAAAUGUGUUGUUGAUAUGUGUUUCGUGCUAAUGAUUAUUGAUAAGUAGUACUUUUAUAGUUCUCUUAGAUAGAUUGCUUGCAAUUAUCUAGUUGAUUAAUUAUUGCAGUUGUGUUCACUCUUCAGAGUCACUGAAACUAAAUUGAGUUGGUAAUCUGUUUGUUGGCCUGACAAGUAACAUAAGUGAGUAUUUAUGAGUCAUUUUAUUCAACAUGUUCAAUAUAUCUAUUGCGAAGUAUUGUGCAAAGUAUGGAAAAUCGUAAAUAAUACUGGCAAAAUUGUGCCAAUAUUAUUCAGAUCACUUAACUUCACUUAUUACCGAAAGAAAGCCGUUGAUGAUUAUAUUCUUGCCAAGAUUCAUAUAUUUUUGCUGAUUGUAUACUAGUUUUUAGAAUAUGAAUUGAUAUUGAAUUGAUAUUAUAUUUAAUAAUUGGCAUUUCAUUUAAAAUGAUAGUAUAAUUUUGAUUUUGAAUUUGGAAGGUUAAUUUUGAAUAUUUAGAAAUUAUUUCAAGAAUUUAGUCCGAUAGUCCUAUGUAAUAUGUGUCAGUUCCUUUUUGUAUGUAUUAAGACUUAUGUCAAAUGUAAUUAUAAAAGAGUUUUUGUAUUAUUAUAUGUUGGUAGUUAAUUUUUGGGAUAUUUUUAAAAAUACCCAUCUGUAAAAUUAUUUUUUUAAAAAUACUACCAUCUUUUUCAUUGUUUUUAAAAAUACCUUUUCAUAAAUUUUUUUUUUCAAAAAUACGAUUUGCAACCUUUGCAACCUCAUUUGCAACCUUGGGCGGCGCAGCCGUAAAAGUUGCAAAUGAGGUUGCAAAAGUUGCAAAUAAAAAUGGAAAUGAGGUUGCAAAAGUUGCAAAUGAGGUUGCAAAAGUUGCAAAUAAAAAUGGAAAGUUGCAACAGUUGCAACUGCAAUUGCAACUAGUUCAACUGAAAACUGUAAGUUGCAAAAGUUGCAAAUGAGGUUGCAAAAGUUGCAACUGAGGUUGCAAAAGUUGCAACUGCAGUUGCAAAAGUUGCAACCUCAGUUGCAACUAAAUGCAACUGAAAACUGUAAGUAACAACAGAUGUAUGGUGUGCCCCUGGCGGGGCCGGUAGAUUACAAUAGAAUCAACUGAAUGCAACCAUAUGCAACUGAAUACAACCAUAUGCAACCAUAUAUGCAAUUACAAAUCCUGAUUUCAAGUUCCAGUUUUCGAAUGUCGUUUUCGACCUCAUUUUCGGAAUCGAUAUAUAUAUAUAUAUAUAUAUAUCUGUUCUGAUAUAAAGUCACUAUUCUCGUUAAAACUGCCUUUUGGUAGUUCUGAUAUAGUGACUCAAUAACUCAAUGAUUAAAGGCAGAAUUAAAUAGAUACUCUAGAAGCAAUGUAAAACACUUUUAUAUGAACGGUUUCAGAAAAAAGAUUAUUGAAAAUUUAGAUAUAAAACUGCUUUUACUACUCCCUUUGGUCACUAUGAAUGGAAUGUAGUUCCAUUUGGACUUAAAAAUGCCCCUAGUGAAUUCCAGAAUAUCAUGAAUAAUAUAUUUAACCCCUUUAGCCAUUUCUCAAUAGUAUAUGUAGAUGAUGUUCUUAUCUAUUCUAAUUCUAUUGAAGAACAUUGGAAACAUCUGAACUCUUUUUUCAAUACAAUUAAGACUAAUGGUCUAGUACUAUCACCAACUAAAUGUGUCUUAUUUCAGACAAAAGUAAGAUUUUUAGGUCAUACCAUUCAGUAUGGGAAAAUUAGACCAAUAGAUAGAUCAAUUGAAUUUGCUAGUAAAUUCCCAGAUGAAAUACUUGACAAAACCCAACUCCAAAGAUUUCUAGGAUCACUCAACUACAUAGGAGAAUUUUAUAAAGAUCUUAGGAAGCAAUGUAAACCAUUAUUCGAACGAUUGCAAAAUAAUCCCCCGCCUUGGACUUCUAUCCAUACUUCUAUUGUCCAAGAUAUUAAAAAAUAUGUUAAGACUCUUCCCUGUCUUGGCAUUGCUAAUCCUUCUGCAUUUAAAAUAGUAGAAACCGAUGCCUCUGAAGUUGGAUUUGGAGGUAUUCUUAAACAAAAAUUAAACCCUUCUUCACAUGAAGAAAUUGUUUGUUUUCAUUCAGGAGCUUGGGAUCAAACCCAACAAAAUUAUUCAACCAUUAAAAAAGAAAUUUUAAGCCUUGUCUUAUGCAUCAAUAAAUUCCAGCAUGAACUUUUAAAUCAAAAGUUUUUAGUCAGAAUUGAUUGCCAGUCAGCAAAAUUUAUUUUAGAAAAAGAUGUUCAAAAUAUUGCAUCAAAACAGAUUUUUGCCAGAUGGCAGGCUUUAUUAAGCAUAUUUGAUUUUGAUAUACAAUACAUUAAAGGAAGUGAAAAUUCUAUUCCAGAUUUUCUAACUAGAGAAUUUCUACAAACAGGAGUGAAAGAUGAGUGUGAGAGAUAACAAUAGCCAGGUUAUUAUAUAUAUAUAUAUAUAUAUAUCGAUUCCGAAAAUGAGGUCGAAAACGACAUUCGAAAACUGGAACUUGAAAUCAGGAAUUUGGUUGCAUAUGAAGUUGCAAAAGAGGUUGCAACACGGCUGGCGCCGCCUGGAGUUGCAGAUGAGGUUGCAAAAGUUGCAAACAGUAUUUUUGAAAAAAAGAUUUUAUGAAAAGGUAUUUUUAAAAAGAAUUCUGGAAGGUAGUAUUUUUGUAAAUAAUUAAAGAAAAGGUAGGUAGUUUUGUAGAUUUCCCUUAAUUUUUAUAGCUAACAAAUUUCAAAAAUAUAUAUUAUUUGCACAUACAUCUUCAGAACAUAUUACAUAAAUAAGCUGCUCCAGAGCUCUUCAUCCCAAACAUGACGAUGACUAGGAAAGAGAAAAAAAAAUUCCAGUUCACAUUUCGAACCUGCUGGACAAGUAAGUUUUCUUUUAAUUUUCAAACAUGGAUUAACUUCUUAUUCAUUCAUUUACUUUUGUGAUGUAAUUGGAUCAAAUUUUUUGUAUAUAAUCCCAUGUGAAGCAAACACAUGAAUUUAGCUCUAUACAUUUCAGGCCUGGUUCUCAUUUCUAUGUAUACAACUUGGAUAGUUUUAUGAUUAAUAUGCUCGAUAUGAUACCAUGAUUUGAUAUUGCGUUUGUUAAGUGUUUAAUAAAUGUUAUCCAAACUAAUUGCCUCUAGUUGGUCAUGAUGUAAUUCGAUAUUCAUAAGUUGUUUUUGAUAUCAAUAAUCAAAUUUGAGUCGAUAUGUGCAAGAGAUCGCUGUGAAUAUAUGCGUAACAGGUCACUGUGAAAUGUAAUAAGUGUGAGUGAAGUAUGUUUGAAUUUAUAACUCAAAUCCAAUGAUUUUAAUUGCUAAUUUAAGAAUGGAAUGGUACUGUUUAUGUCAAGUGUUCAUUUUCUUCGUAUAUGUGUACAACUUUAAUAACAUGUCUUAAUGCUAUGAAGUAUUAUACUAUUAUUCCACCAAGUCCAAGAGUAAUUCCUUUUCCUUAGAAUUUUCAAUAGCUUCCCGGGGGCGAAGAAGGCUUAUUAAUAUACAGAUUUUGUUAAGUAUCAGCUCAAUAGAAGUAGUCAGGUGUUAAGUAAAUUCCUUGUCAUCAUGUACAUACGGGGUUGUUCCAAAUUGUGCAACAUAGGACUAAACAGAACUUUUCCUUUGAGCUAAUUACCUUCAAGCGCAAGGUUCUCUUAUUUGCCAGAAGAAAAUAAUAAGAGUUCCUCGAUGAAAAAUUCCCAUGUCAUAAUCGAUUGCUCCACUCGUAAUGUUUGAAACCAAAUGUUCAAUCACUCUACAAUGUUGCAUAUAUAGGUUAAGCUGAGCCCAAAUGAUGUCAGUAUUAAUUAUGACACCCACAAGCGAAACACUAAUCAGAUUACAGGAAACCUUCCUAUUUCGGGGGUGGUGUAGGCAUACAGUGACUUAGAUCAGAUGAGUCAAUUUUGAACAUGAAAACAAAUAAGAUGGUAUUUUGUAGGCACUGGAUGUACGAUUAUGAAGUUUCACUUCCCUAACUCCACUGUUUGAUAUGUUUUUAAUCCAAAUAUCUAUAUCUGAAUAGAGAUGAAGUGGCAGAUCAUUAGGAUUGCAAAGAAUAAACUUCAAUAUGAGACCUCCAAGAGAUAAAAGAAUACUGCUGCCGGUUAUUGAAAAUUCAUAUAGUUUAGUUUCUCUACUUCUGAAAGGAAACCUCUGAGAAAACCGGUUGAAGAAAAGGUCAUCAAAAACUAGGUGUGAGUGUAUUUCCCAUUUACCCCUUCAUGUUUUUGAGAGAAUCCUCAUUCUUGCUACACAGUCAACCGGCAAUCACUUUUGAAUUAGGUCUAGUAAGUCACUGGGCAUGUCACUUUUGAAUUAGACCUUAUACCAAAGCGAUUGCCGGUUGACUGUGUAGCGAGAAUGUACAUUCUCUCAAAAACAUGGAGGGGUAAAUGGGAAAUGCACCCACACCUAGUUUUUGAUGACCUUUUUCUUCAACCGGCUUUCUCAGAGGUUUCCUUCCAGAAGUAGAGAAACCAAACUAUAUGAAUUUUGAAGAACCGUCAGCAGUAGUCUUUUAUCUCGUAGUGGUCUCAUAUUGAAGUUUUUUCUUUGCAUUCCUCAUGAUUUGUUUCUUCAUCUCUAUUUAGAUAUAGAUAUUUGGAUUAAAAACAUAACAAACAAUGGAGUUAAGGAAGUGCAACUUCAUAAUCGUACAUUGAGUGCCCACAAAAUACCAUCGUAUUUGUUUUCCUGUUCAGAGUUGACUCGUCUGAUUCUAAGUUGUAUGCUCACACCACCCCGGAAAUUGAAGACUUCCGUAAUCUGAUUACUGUUUUGAUUGUGGGUGUCAUAAUUACAACUGACAUAUCAUUUGGGGCUCAACUUACUGACCUACAUUUGCAAAGUUGCAUUGGGAUUGAACAUUUGAGAAUGGAAAGGCAUUUGUUUAUGUCAAGUGUUCAUUUUCUUCGUAUUUGUGUACAACUUUAAUAACAUGUCUUAAUGCUAUCAAGUAUUAUACUAUUAUUCCACCAAGUACAAGAGUAAUUCCUUUUCCUUAGAAUUUUCGAUGGCUUCCCGGGGGCGUAGAAGGCUUAUUAAUAUACAUAUUUUGUUAAGUAUCAGCUCAAUAGAAGUAGUCAGGUGUUAAGUAGAUUCCUUGUCAUCAUGUACAUACGGGGUUGUUCCAAAUUGUGCAACAUAGGACUCAAAAAAACUUUUUCUUUGAGCUAAUUACCUUCACGCGCAAGGUUCUCUUAUUUGCCAGAAGAAAAUGAUAAGAGUUCCUCGAUGAAAAAUUCCCAUGUCAUAAUCGAUUGCUCCACUCGUAAGGUUUGAAACCAAAUGUUCAAUCACACUACAAAGUUGCAUAUAUAGGUUAGUAAGUUGAGCCCAAAUGAUGUCAGUAUUAAUUAUGACACCCAUAUGCGAAACACUAAUCAGAUUAUAGGAAACCUUCAUAUUUCGGGGGUGGUGUAGGCAUACAGUGACUUAGAUCAGAUGAGUCAAUUUUGAACAUGAAAACAAAUAAGAUGGUAUUUUGUAGGCACUGGAUGUACGAUUAUGAAGUUUCACUUCCCUAACUCCACUGUUUGAUAUGUUUUUAAUCCAAAUAUCUAUAUCUGAAUAGAGAUGAAGUGGCAGAUCAUUAGGAUUGCAAAGAAUAAACUUCAAUAUGAGAC
rnacentral:lncRNA from 1 species